rnacentral:rRNA from 1 species
GUGCCAGCAGCCGCGGUAAUACGAACUGUGCAAACGUUAUUCGGAAUCACUGGGCUUAAAGGGUGCGUAGGCGGCUGUCUAAGUAGGGUGUGAAAGCCCCCGGCUCAACCGGGGAAUUGCGCCCUAAACUGGAUGGCUGGAGUGAGGCAGGGGUGUGUGGAACUUCCGGUGGAGCGGUGAAAUGUGUUGAUAUCGGAAGGAACGCCGGUGGCGAAAGCGACACACUGGGUCUCAACUGACGCUGAGGCACGAAAGCCAGGGGAGCAAACGGGAUUAGAUACCCCAGUAGUCC